AAUUGUAUUAGGGAUAUCAUCUUCUUAUUCUGCAUUAGUCAACCUCCCACUGGUUGUUGCUUUGCUGUCGCACUUCCAUGCCUCCCAUUGUUGCUCUGACUGCUGCCAUUGUUGCUAUGCUCUGGUUGGUUUUUAACUUUUGAUUUGUUGUGGAAAAUUUCAAAUUGGUUUGUGAAUUUGUUGAGUUGAUUUGUGAAUGUGGAUUGAUUUGUGGAUUUGCCAAAUUGGUUUGUGAAUUUGUUGAGUUGAUUUGUGAAUGUGGAUUGAUUUGUGGAUUUGCCAAAUUGGUUUGUGAAUUUGUUGAGUUGAUUUGUGAAUGUGGAUUGAUUUGUGG
rnacentral:misc_RNA from 1 species